GGAUCCUGGCUCAGGAUGAACGCUGGCGGCGUGCCUAACACAUGCAAGUCGAACGAAGCACCUUACCGGAUUCUUCGGAUUGAAAGUUUGGUGACUAGAGUGGCGGACGGGUGGAGUAACGCGUGGGUAACCUGCCCUGUACAGGGGGAUAACAGCUGGAAACGGCUGCUAAUACCGCGUAAGCGCACGAGGAGACAUCUCCUUGUGUGAAAAACUCCGGUGGUACAGGAUGGGCCCGCGUCUGAUUAGCUGGG
rnacentral:rRNA from 1 species